rnacentral:tRNA from 1 species
GGGAAUGUGGUGGAAUCGGUAGACACGACGGACUUAAAAUCCGUUGCUUAGUGAUAGGCUUGAGGGUUCAAGUCCCUCCGUUCUCA